GCGUUGUUGGUGAAAUGGUAUCAUAGUUGCCUUCCAAGCAAUUGGCCUGGGUUCGAUUCCCGGACAACGCA